GACGAACGCUGGCGGCGUGCUUAACACAUGCAAGUCGAACGGAAAGGCCCUGCUUUUGUGCGGUGCUCGAGUGGCGAACGGGUGAGUAACACGUGAGUAACCUGCCCUUGACUUUGAGAUAACUUCAGGAAACUGGGGCUAAUACCGGAUAGGAGCUCCUGCUGCAUGGUGGGGGUUGGAAAGUUUCGGCGGUUGGGGAUGGACUCGCGGCUUAUCAGCUUGUUGGUGGGGUAGUGGCUUACCAAGGCUUUGACGGGUAGCCGGCCUGAGAGGGUGACCGGCCACAUUGGGACUGAGAUACGGCCCAGACUCCUACGGGAGGCAGCAGUGGGGAAUAUUGCACAAUGGGCGGAAGCCUGAUGCAGCAACGCCGCGUGCGGGAUGACGGCCUUCGGGUUGUAAACCGCUUUCGCCUGUGACGAAGCGUGAGUGACGGUAAUGGGUAAAGAAGCACCGGCUAACUACGUG
rnacentral:rRNA from 1 species